rnacentral:rRNA from 1 species
AAGUCUAAGUAUAAAUCAAUUUUACUGAUGAAACUGCGAACGGCUCAUUAAAUCAGUUAUAAUUUAUUUGAUGGUACGGGAGAAAUCCCACUACAUGGAUAACUGUAGUAACCUAGAGCUAAUACAUGCAAAUCAGUCAAACUUUUUGGAAUGACUGGCACUUAUUAGAUAACAAACCAAUAUGUAGCAAUACAUUCUUAUGGUGAAUCAUAAUAACUGAACAGAUCGCAUGGUCUUGUACCGGCGACGUUUCAUUCAAAUUUCUGCCCUAUCAACUAGAUGCUAGUAUAGAGUACUAUCAUGGUUUUCACGGGUAACGGGGAAUUAGGGUUCGAUUCCGGAGAAGGAGCAUGAGAAACGGCUACUACUUCUAAGGAAAGCAGCAGGCGCGCAAAUUAUUCAAUGGAAACAAAUUUCCGAAAUAGUGACAAAAAAUAACGAUGCAUGGCCAUAUGGUUGUGUAAUUGAAAUGAGUACAAUUUAAAUCCCUUAACGAGUAACAAUUAGAGGGCAAGUCUGGUGCCAGCAGCCGCGGUAAUUCCAGCUCUAGUAGCGUAUAUUAAUGUUGUUGCAGUUAAAAAGCUCGUAGUUGAAACUUGAAUGUUGUAAUAGGUUUGGUUUUCUAAUUUAUUAGUAUAACUACCUAUUCACAUUCUUCCCACUAGUAACUCGAUUCUGUUCUUAAUUGAAUGGAAUAGCAGUCUUUUCGGGGAUUGUCGAAUAGAGUGUUAAACUCCACCAUUUGUAUGGAUUUAUGUAAAAGUAGAAAAAUAUAAUGAGUGGAUCAAGUUUAGUAUUUUAUUUGGAGUUCUAGUUCAUUUACUUUGAGAAAAUUAGAGUGUUUAAAGCAGCCUCUUGGGGCUCUGAAUACAUUAGCAUGGGAUAAUAGAAUAGGAUUUCAAUCAUAUUAUUGGUUUGAAUGGAUGAAAUAAUGAUUAAGAGGAACAGUUGGGGGUAUUUAUAUUGGAUGGGGACCGGUGAAAUGGGUGGAUCCAUUCAAGAUAAACUAAAGCGAAAGCAUUUACCAAGGAUGUUUUCAUUAAUCAAGAACGAAAGUUAAGGGAUCGAAGACGAUUAGAUACCGUCGUAGUCUUAACUAUAAACUAUGCCGACCAGGGAUAUGAGUUGUUAUGAAUAUUUUUUUAAAAAAGGGUAUUCAAUUUCCUCUUGUGGACCUUGUGAGAAAUCAUAAGUUUUUGGGUUCUGGGGGGAGUAUGGUCGCAAGGCUGAAACUUAAAGGAAUUGACGGAGGGGCACCACCAGGAGUGGAGCGUGCGGCUUAAUUUGACUCAACACGGGAAAACUUACCAGGUCCAGACAUUAGAAGGAUUGACAGAUUGAUAGCUCUUUCAUGAUUUGAUGGGUGGUGGUGCAUGGCCGUUCUUAGUUGGUGGAGUGAUUUGUCUGGUUAAUUCCGAUAACGAACGAGACCUUUACCAUACUAAAUAGUUUAUUUUAUCUUUUGAUAGAAAACAUUAAAAAAACUUCUUAGAGGGACUAUUGGUUUUUAAACCAAAGGAAGUAAAGGCGAUAACAGGUCUGUGAUGCCCUUAGAUGUUCUGGGCUGCACGCGCGCUACAAUGAUAAACUCACCGAGUAAUUAUAUCUUUAUUGAUAUUUUGCUUAUCCGGAAGGAUUGGCUAAUCUUAAACGUUUAUCGUGCUUGGGAUAGAUGAUUGCAAUUAUUUAUCUUGAACCAGGAAUUCCUAGUAAUCGUAUAUCAUCAGUGUGCGAUGAUUACGUCCCUGCCCC